rnacentral:rRNA from 1 species
GACGUAGGUUCCGAGCGUUAUCCGGAUUUACUGGGCGUAAAGCGCGUUCAGGCGGUCUGGCAAGUCGGGCAUGAAAUCUCUCGGCUCAACCGGGAGAGGUUGUCCGAUACUGUUAGACUGGAGGGCAGUAGAGGGUGGUGGAAUUCCGGGUGUAGUGGUGAAAUGCGUAGAGAUCCGGAGGAACACCAGUGGCGAAAGCGGCCACCUGGACUGCACCUGACGCUGAAACGCGAAAGCUAGGGGAGCGAACGGG